rnacentral:rRNA from 1 species
AGUGAACGCUGGCGGUAGGCCUAACACAUGCAAGUCGAACGGCAGCACAGUAAGAGCUUGCUCUUCCGGGUGGCGAGUGGCGGACGGGUGAGGAAUAUAUCGGACUCUACAUUUUCGUGGGGCUUCACGUAGGUAAACCUACGCUAAUACCGCAUACGACCUACGGUUGAAAGCAGGGGAACUUUGGACCUUGCGCGGAUGGAUGCGCCGCUGCUGGAUUGGCUAGUUGGGGGGGUAAAGGCCCACCCAGGCGACGAUACGUAGCUGGUCUGAGAGGAUGAUCGGCCACACUGGAACGGGGACAGGGUCCAGAGGACUACGGGAGGCACCAGUGGGGAAUGUUGGACAAUGGGCGCAAGCCUUAUCCAGCCAUACCGCGUGUGUGAAAGAGGCCUUCGGGUUGUGAAGCCCUUUUUUUGGUAGAGAAAAGCAGCAGGUUGAUACCCCGCUGUUCUGACGGUACCCAGAAAAUAAGCACCGGCUAACUUCGUG